UGACUCAUUUUUCCAGUCUGUGUGACGUCCCGAUUAUGUAUGUUGUCACUUCACGCCAGCGAGGUUCUGAAAUUUAGGAACGUAAUGUGAAUAAGAAGAUCAAUACCAUGUGUAUGUACUGUAUGUAUGUAUAUAUGUAUGUACGUCGAUAGCAGAACUAUUAGGAAAGCUAAAUUGAUCAUCCAUAGCACGCACACACACACACCCCAUGACCACCUUGACAACUGUUCUACUUUAGGGUUCACAAAGGUCAAAGUCAUGGCUGGGAUAAAGCCUUUUUCAUCUCAACUACAGAAAGAAAGACUUACAUAUUGAUACUGGGUUGUUGUGUCAGGUGAUAAUGUUGAAGGUCAUCUAGGUUACAAUGGUGUGUGCGUAUGUGUUUACAUUAUGAGGUCCUCCACGUGCGUCUGUUUACAUAAUGAGGUCCUCCACGUGCGUCUGUUUACAUAAUGAGGUCCUCCACGUGCUUCUGUUUACAUUAUGAGGUCCUCCACGUGCGUCUGUUUACAUUAUGAGGUUCUCCACGUGGGUUUGUUUACAUGUGAGGAAAGUGAGUCUCUGCUGUACCUUCCAAGUGAUGGUACAGGUGGAAGUCGCUCGUGUGUAGACAAGUGACGGCGUUGAUUAUGGCAGUGACCGAGUGUGUGUGUGUCCGUGAGUGGUGUCCAGAUGUGCCUCAGUCCGGUUAACAGUUUUAUCCGGGUGUGUAUGGGUCCGGUUAACAGUUUUGUCCACCGGGUGUGUGUGCGUGUGUGUACUGUAUAUGCGUCCAUUGCCAAUUUUGUCCGUGGGGGAGGGGGAGUGAUAUGUACGGUACAUGUAGCAUCGUGACCAAUGAGAAAGCUUGCUUUACCUCACAACUAAUAACAACCAUCAUGUUAUUAUUCACAGCUUCUCUAGUAUUAUUGGAGGGUUAUUACAACACAGGUUAGGGAGGGUUAUUACAACAGGUCAGGGGAGGUCACGAGUGCUGUAUGUCUGUCGUGAGUCAAAAGAAGGUCAAUGGUUAUGGGUUGGGUUGCUUCAGAGUGUGGUAAUGUGGCAGAAUC